rfam:Spinacia oleracea cultivar SynViroflay scaffold41185.con0072.1, whole genome shotgun sequence.
AGUCAAGAGUCUUGGCAUCGAAUUUUUCGGUGAGCGAUUUUCUUUUGCCUUGUGAAAGGUGAAAGACAUG